rnacentral:rRNA from 1 species
CGCACUAGUCACUUUGUCUUUAUGGCAAAUGUGAGAUGCAGUGUAUGGAAUGUCAAAUUUCUAGUAUGAGAAAUUAACGAUUUAAGUCCUUCUUAAAUGAGGCCAUUUACCCAUAGAGGGUGCCAGGCCCGUAUAACGUUAAUGAUUACUAGAUGGCAUUUCCAAAGAGUCGUGUUGCUUGAUAGUGCAGCACUAAGUUGGUGGUAAACUCCAUCUAAAACUAAAUAUAACCAUGAGACCGAUAGUAAACAAGUACCGUGAGGGAAAGUUGAAAAGAACUCUGAAUAGAGAGUUAAAUAGUACGUGAAACUGCUUAGAGGUUAAGCCCGAUGAACCUGAAUAUCCAUUAUAGAAAAUUCAUCAUUAUGAUUUAAAUACUAAUAGUAUUUUAAUAAUAGUGUGCAUUUUUUCUAUAGAGGACAUUGUAAUCUAUUGACAUGAAUUAAAUUUAUCAAAAGAUCAAUUGCUCAAGUUUACUCAAAUUAUUUUGAUUUCAAUUUAACAUAGAAUAAAUGCUUUUGAUUUGAUAAAGUGUUGAUAGAUUUAUAAUAUACAGUGCUUGAAUAUUUAAUAUUGUAUAAUAGCAUAUUAAUUAUUAAUUUUUAUGUUUAUUUUAUGCACUUGUAUGAUUAACAAUGCGAAAGAUUCAGGAUACCUUCGGGACCCGUCUUGAAACACGGACCAAGGAGUCUAACAUAUUUGCAAGUUAUUGGAAGUAAAAAUCUAAUAGCGAAAUUAACAUAACUUAAAAUUAAUUGGGAUUAGUUUUUAGCCUAUUUAUAGUCUAUGAAUUCAAUCCCGGGGCGUUCUAUACAGUUAUGUAUAAUAAUAUUUAUAUUAUUUAUACCUCUAACUAGAGCGUACCUUGAGCAUAUAUGCUGUGACCCGAAAGAUGGUGAACUAUACUUGAUCAGGUUGAAGUCAGGGGAAACCCUGAUGGAAGACCGAAACAGUUCUGACGUGCAAAUCGAUUGUCAGAAUUGAGUAUAGGGGSGAAAGACCAAUCGAACCAUCUAGUAGCUGGUUCCCUCCGAAGUUUCCCUCAGGAUAGCUGGUGCAUUUAAAAAUUAUGUAAAAUAAUCUUAUCUGGUAAAGCGAAUGAUUAGAGGCCUUAGGGUCGAAACGACCUUAACCUAUUCUCAAACUUUAAAUGGGUAAGAACCUCACCUUUCUUGGUAUGAAGGUUGUGGUUGUGAUAUAAUGUGCCCAGUGGGCCACUUUUGGUAAGCAGAACUGGCGCUGUGGGAUGAACCAAACGUAAUGUUACGGUGCCCAAAUUAACAACUCAUGCAGAUACCAUGAAAGGCGUUGGUUGCUUAAAA